CCUACGGGAGGCAGCAGUGGGGAAUAUUGGACAAUGGGCGAAAGCCUGAUCCAGCCAUGCCGCGUGUGUGAAGAAGGCCUUCGGGUUGUAAAGCACUUUCAGUGGGGAAGAAAGCCUUGGGGCUAAUACCCUCGAGGAAGGACAUCACCAACAGAAGAAGCACCGGCUAACUCCGUGCCAGCAGCCGCGGUAAUACGGAGGGUGCGAGCGUUAAUCGGAAUUACUGGGCGGAAAGCGCGCGUAGGCGGUCUGAUAAGCCGGUUGUGAAAGCCCCGGGCUCAACCUGGGAACGGCAUCCGGAACUGUCAGGCUAGAGUGCAGGAGAGGAAGGUAGAAUUCCCGGUGUAGCAGUGAAAUGCGUAGAGAUCGGGAGGAAUACCAGUGGCGAAGGCGGCCUUCUGGACUGACACUGACGCUGAGGUGCGAAAGCGUGGGUAGCAAACAGGAUUAGAUACCCUGGUAGUC
rnacentral:rRNA from 1 species